GAUGAACGCUGGCGGCGUGCUUAACACAUGCAAGUCGAACGGUAAGGCCCUUCGGGGUACACGAGUGGCGAACGGGUGAGUAACACGUGGGUGAUCUGCCCUGCACUUCGGGAUAAGCCUGGGAAACUGGGUCUAAUACCGGAUAGGACCACUGCCUGCAUGGGUGGGGGUGGAAAGCUUUUGCGGUGUGGGAUGGGCCCGCGGCCUAUCAGCUUGUUGGUGGGGUGAUGGCCUACCAAGGCGACGACGGGUAGCCGGCCUGAGAGGGAGACCGGCCACACUGGAACUGAGAGACGGCCCAGACUCCUACGGGAGGCAGCAGUGGGGAAUAUUGCACAAUGGGCGCAAGCCUGAUGCAGCGACGCCGCGUGAGGGAUGACGGCCUUCGGGUUGUAAACCUCUUUCGGCACCGACGAAGAGCAAGUGACGGUAGGUGCAGAAGAAGGACCGGCCAACUACGUGCCAGCAGCCGCAGUAA
rnacentral:rRNA from 1 species